GAUGAACGCUAGCGGGAGGCUUAAUACAUGCAAGUCGAGGGGUAACAUGGAUCUUCGGAUCUGAUGACGACCGGCGCACGGGUGAGUAACGCGUACACGACCUACCUUCAAGAGGGGAGCAGGCUCGGGAAACUGAGAUUAAUACCCCAUGUGAUUGUUUUUUCUAAAUGUAGACAAUUAAAGAUCCGUCGCUUGAAGAUGGGUGUGCGUACUAUUAGGUAGUUGGUAGGGUAACGGCCUACCAAGCCGACGAUAGUUAGGGGGCGUGAGAGCGUGACCCCCCACACGGGUACUGAGACACGGACCCGACUCCUACGGGAGGCAGCAGUAAGGAAUAUUGGACAAUGGGCGCAAGCCUGAUCCAGCCAUCCCGCGUGUAGGAUGACUGCCCUAUGGGUUGUAAACUACUUUUGUAAGGGAAGAAACGCCUGGUUUUAACUGGGCCUGACGGUACCUUAAGAAUAAGCACCGGCUAACUCCG
rnacentral:rRNA from 1 species